GGCCCGGUAGCUCAGUUGGUAGAGCAGCGGAUUGAAAAUCCGCGUGUCACUGGUUCGAUUCCAGUCCAGGCCACCA
rnacentral:tRNA from 5 species